GAGCGAGGAAAAAUGGGAGGGGCGAGAAAGAAAUAGCUAUUUCUUUUUCUAUUUCGCUAUUUCUUUCUCGCCCCUUCCAUUUUUCCUCGCUUUCUUUCUCUCG
rnacentral:miRNA from 1 species